CAGCAUACUCCACCACGCAAACGCGGCUCACCUGUAUCAACAGCGUCAUUCCUUCAGGUGCGCCACGCACACACAAGCGCCGUCUUCUUCUCAUAACCAUUCGCGGAGACGAUAUAUCAGCAGAGAUCUCGGGCCCACCCCGCACCCUCAAACACAUCCCCCUACACUCCCCUGCCCCGAUGCCGCCAGCAUCGAACACGCCUGCGCGCGAGAAGGAGCAUCUGCACCGCAUGUUCUCCGCUGCCGCGAACGCCCUCGCCGACCUCUACCGUGAGUCAUCCAACUCCUACGAGGCAGGCUACCGCGACGCGCUCCUCUUUGUGCAGCGCUACCUGCAGAGCAGCUCGCCCGUCACAGAGCGCGGGCUCCCCCCAUCCUCGGCCUUCUCCAUCUGCGAGACCGUCAACGCGCAGCACAUGGCGCAGUUUUUGCAGCACACAAUUGCGACUCGCCGUGAGCGCAUGGCAGCGGUGCGUGGCAUCCACUCGUUGCGCCGGCGCAGACGCGAGAGUGAGCAAGGGAACAGCGGAAUCGAUGACUCUGGUAUCGCGCGCGACGACGGAGAUGCCAGGGAGAACGACGAAGAUGACGAUGGAGAGGAACCGUGCUUGACACCGCGGUCAUCUCCGGUGGUGGCCAUUGAGCCGCCGGCGGAUUUGACAGCUCUCGCAGCAUCCGGAGUUGUGAGCACGGCCACGCCUCGCUUUUCUCCUGGCGCUCUCGUUACGGUGAAUAGCACGUCGCCUGCUUUGAGUCGCGAGAUGGAGCACGUAAUACAUACAGAGCAUCCAGUGUCUGGGCGGUUGCCGUACCAGCCGCGCCGCCAGCGCCCCCGCAUGGAGCGCAUGCACGGCCAUGGCUCUCUGGGCUCCGCGGAUGGGCGUCCCCUGCCCACCCAGCUCCGCAUCGGAAGGAGAAGCUGAGUGAAGGGAGAUGAUACUUGGUGCAGGUAUAUUGGCUACCGAGCAGGCUGCCUGGCAGCCUUCUGCUUCUCCUGCGGCACGCAGCGGCGUUUUGUUUGUUGUCUGCGACUUCACAGUGCACAGCGUUGAUUCAUCGCACACCCUUUCUCUCUCUCUUGUGAGUGCUGCCCUACCCUCUUCGCCUCCCAGGUCCGUGGUGCUGUGAAGGGGGGCGGGCGCUCUCGCUCGCUCGGGGAUGGAAAUUGUUCGGGUGACGUACCGCGUAUAUGUCUUUUCACAGUGGUGCCGUUGAUUUCUCAUCUGCUGCUGCUCUCAGCAUCUCUUUCUCUCCCUCGCAUCACCGCGGGUACGGCCGUGCGUGCCUGCCUGUGUCGAUGCCUCUUUCAAGGAUGGUGUGCUUGUCGCUGCCUUUGUGUACGAAAACUCAUUAACGUACGUGCACCGGGCCCGCCUCUCUGCCACAGAUCACGAGGCCAGCUCCACUCCACCCUAACGCCUCCCCCGCGCAGCCCUGUCACACGCUCCCCACCGCAUGAUGCGAAGCCGCCGUAGACACACGCGUUGCAGCGCAGUGUGCCAACGCAGUCGUCUGAGAGCAUGGCCUCUGCCUCAAACACCACCCACCCACCCCCGCUCCGCAGGCCGCCACCUGGUGCAUCCCCCUCGGGGGCGGCUCAGGCUCCCCGCCUCUGUAGGUGGUGAGGGCCGGGUGAGAUGUGCUCGAGUCACAUUGGCGCCUUGCCCAUCAUAUGUAUGGUGCAAGCGUGUGCACUGUCGCAGGUCUCUCCGGCGGCGCGCCAUCCACAGCAUGGCCGCCGACAUCCGUAGCGAUACAUCGCUCUGACCUCCUCCCCCACGUCGCAGGUGUUUAGCCCUGUCGCCAGCGGAGGCGGCUCGGCAUUGGCAGAGGGAUAGUGGAGUGUGGGGGAGGGGGGUGCACUGGACCCUGCAAUACCGCGCGCUGAGCUGUGUGUGCCCCCUCCCUUCCCCCCUCUCACCCCAUCGGUGAGUGAUAGGACGCGGAUGUUUAAAGCGUGGAAAAAUGAUUGCUCGUCUUUACCACUCCAUCUCCCUCCAUGCGCUGCGCUCUCUCCUCCUUCUGGUGCGUCACCUGCUCGCCUUGGCUUUCAACAUCGCCAUGCGGGCGUAUCUUCUCUGUGAACACGAUGACACUGGCAG
rnacentral:misc_RNA from 1 species